ACUCAAAUGGCAGAUUAGUGCGCUAGAUUUAAGCUCUAAAUAUGAAUUCUAAAUUCUUUGAGUA
rnacentral:tRNA from 1 species